rnacentral:rRNA from 1 species
GGGGAAUCUUGCACAAUGGGGGCAACCCUGAUGCAGCGACGCCGCGUGAGCGAUGAAGCCCUUCGGGGCGUAAAGCUCUUUCGACCGGAACGAUAAUGACGGUACCGGGAGAAGAAGCUGCGGCUAACUACGUGCCAGCAGCCGCGGUAAUACGUAGGCAGCAAGCGAUGUUCGGAGUUACUGGGCGUAAAGAGUGCGUAGGCGGUUUUCUAAGUUCGGUGUGAAAUCGCCCGGCUUAACUGGGAGGGUGCGCCGAAGACUGGGAAGCUGGAGUGUGGGAAAGGCAGGCGGAAUUCCUGGUGUAGCGGUGAAAUGCGUAGAUAUCAGGAGGAACACCGGCGGUGUAGACGGCUUGCUAGACCAUAACUGACGCUGAGGCACGAAAGCGUGGGUAGCAAACA